rnacentral:rRNA from 1 species
UACGUAGGGGGCGAGCGUUGUCCGGAUUUAUUGGGCGUAAAGGGCGUGUAGGCGGCCUGUUAAGUCGGAGGUGAAACCCCAGAGCUCAACUCUGGGCCUGCCUCCGAAACUGGUGGGCUUGAGUAUCCUAGAGGGUAGUGGAAUUCCCGGUGUAGCAGUGAAAUGCGUAGAGAUCGGGAGGAACACCAGUGGCGAAGGCGACUGCCUGGGGGAAAACUGACGCUGAGGCGCGAAAGCUGGGGGAGCAAACGGG